AAGANGCCUUCGGGGUGUUAAGCACUUUCAGCGGGGAGGGAAGGCAUCAUGGCUUAAUAUCCAAUGGUGAUUUGNCGUUACCCCGCAGAAAGAGGCACCGGGCUAAACUCCGUGCCAGGCAGCCGCGGUAAUACGGAGGGGUGCAGGCGUUUAUCGGAAUUACUGGGCGUAAAGCGCGCGUAGGCGGCUUGUUAAGUCGGAUGUGAAAUCCCCGGGCUCAACCUGGGAAUUGCAUCCGAUACUGACGAGCUGGAGUGCGAUAGAGGGGGGUAGAAUUCCUAGUGUAGCGGUGAAAUGCGUAGAUAUUAGGAGGAAUACCGGUGGCGAAGGCGGCCCCCUGGAUCGACACUGACGCUGAGGUGCGAAAGCGUGGGUAGCAAACAUGAUUAGAUACCCUGGUAGUCCACGCCGUAAACGAUGUCUACUAGCCGUUGGAGAUCUAGAAUCUUUAGUGGCGAAGCUAACGCGAUAAGUAGACCGCCUGGGGAGUACGGCCGCAAGGUUAAAACUCAAAUGAAUUGACGGGGGCCCGCACAAGCGGUGGAGCAUGUGGUUUAAUUCGACGCAACGCGAAGAACCUUACCUGGCCUUGACAUCCUGCGAACUUUCUAGAGAUAGAUUGGUGCCUUCGGGAGCGCAGAGACAGGUGCUGCUUGGCUGUCGUCAGCUCGUGUCGUGAGAUGUUGGGUUAAGUCCCGCAACGAGC
rnacentral:rRNA from 1 species